rnacentral:tRNA from 1 species
GGUAGAGCACUUGACUUUUAAUCAAGUUGUCCGGGGUUCGAAUCCCCGCACGCUCACUA